GACGAACGCUGGCGGCGUGCUUAAUACAUGCAAGUCGAACGGAAAGUCCCUGCCGUAGUUGGGUGCUCGAGAGGCGAACGGGUGCGAAACACGUGAGUAACCUGCCCUUGCCUUUGGGAUAACGUGAGGAAACUGGGGCUAAUACCGGAUAGGAGCGCCUGAUGCUUGGUGUGGGUUGGAAAUUAUCGGCGGGGGGGGAUGGACUCGCGGCGUGUUAGCCAGGUGGUGGGGUAGUGGCUCCGCAAGGCUAAGACGGGUAGACGGCCUGAGAGGGUGACCGGCCACACUGGGACUGAGAAACGGCCCAGACUGCUACGGGAGGCAGCAGUAGGGAAUCUUCGGCAAUGGACGAAAGUCUGACCGAGCAACGCCGCGUGAGUGAAGAAGGUUUUCGGAUCGUAAAGCUCUGUUGUAAGAGAAGAACGGGUGUGAGAGUGGAAAGUUCACACUGUGACGGUAUCUUACCAGAAAGGGACGGCUAACUACGUG
rnacentral:rRNA from 1 species